GGGAUAGGAAGCACCACAAAAAAUAACUAGAGCAUCAGGCAAACCAAAUGACUCAAAGAAUAUUCCUCAGGGAAGGAGUGUCCCUGAAGUCCGAUCACCCCACCACAUCUUCCAUCCCCAGCUUCCUUUCCUCUGGCCCGUUCAUCUACAAAUGCCUUCUUCCUUCAACCCUGUUCCCAUCCUCACUUCUAUUCCCAAGCUCCCGUAGUAUCCCUUCCCCAACAACCCUGUCUUCCCCGAUCUCUUCCCACUGUCCUUCCUGUGUCCAGCCCCAUCCCCUUGAUGAUCUUUUCACUCCCCGUGAUCCUCCCUUCCAAAGCCCCCUUAGUCCACAUUCCAUGCCACGCCCUCUCCCUCCCCGCCCCCCAUUGGUCUCUCUUCCUUUCCAUUCUCCUCAAAGGUCUCCGUUCCAUUCUAUCUUUUUCCAUUUCAGUGCGGCAGUCUCCCUUCCAUUCUCCUCCCCUCCCCCUUUGGUCUCCAUUCUGUUUCCCCCUUCCUGGUCACUCUUCCUUGGUUUCCGUUCCAUUCCAUCCCUUUGUCACCCCCGUUCUAUUCGCAUCCACAUCCAGGGCUUCCCGGAGGCCGAGCAGAAGCCCCCGCCAUGGCGCGGCACCGGCGCCCAGGCCGCAGCCCUCCGGGGCCCGCAGUCCAUUCACUCAGCUCAUUUUGGAGCCUGGCGCUGCUCCUGGCCUUCCUCUGGGUCGCUGCUACCACCUGGGGCUUUGCGGGCUACCGAGAGGCUCAGACGAGGGCGCAGCGGGAGGCAGUGCUGAAGUCUCUGGGGACAGAAGGCCAAUUCUUGUUUGCCUCUCUGGAUACUGACAGGGACUUAUCCAUCAGCCCUGAGGAGUUCAGACCCAUUGCUGAGAAACUGAGGGAAAUCAACAGAGACUAGAAGUGGAUGGAUGGAUGAUGAACAUAAGAGAAGAGGAAAUAUUGUCACAUCCCCUUAACAUAUAGCUUCAUUUUCCCAUCUGAGCAAUACCCUAUCUUCUCCAAGACAAGAUGAGGGCAAACGAGAAGGCUCCUGGGAAAAUCUCUGGACCUAAAUAUUGAAAAUCAUUAUUAAUGGGCACUAUCACUGAGGAAGAAGAGUAAUCAUGUUGGAAGAAUCAAGGCAAGCUAAUGACUAGUCUUCUCAGAUCCUCAAAGCUCCUUUUGUCUUAGGUUUUAUUAUGAUCUCAGCUGCUCUCAUGAAAUGGAAUUUCAGAUACAUUUAUGGUUGCAGUUUACAAAUGUGUAAAUAAUAAAAGCUUUGGAAGUGAAAUAAGUAUAAAUAGGACUUCAUCCUUAUUCUACCUCACAGUCAUUCAUUGCAAACAAUAUAAAGGAAAUUCUAGAAUUCUAAAGCAAGAAGGGGGGGAGAGUCUUGAAGUUUUAUGUUGAUCUGUUGUGCAACAGUUCCUUUUUAUUGUCCUGCCUCAGUUUCCCUGAAUUGUUCUGACUCAGUUCCUAAUUGUUCUGCUCAAUCCUGCAACACCACCCCUCCCUCUUAAUCAUC
rnacentral:lncRNA from 1 species